rnacentral:rRNA from 1 species
GAUAAACGCUGGCGGCGUGCAUAACACAUGCAAGUCGAACGAUGAACCUUAAUUGAUUUCUUCGGAAUGAAAAUAAGUGGAUUAGUGGCGAACGGGUGAGUAACACGUGAGUAACCUGCCUUACACAAGGGGAUAGCCUUUGGAAACGAAGAAUAAUACCCUAUAAAGUCAAAAUAUCGCAUGAUAUAGUGACCAAAGAUUUAUCGGUGUAAGAUGGACUUGCGUCUGAUUAGCUAGUUGGUGAGAUAAAAGCCCACCAAGGCGACGAUCAGUAGCCGGCUUGAGAGAGUGUACGGCCACAUUGGGACUGAGACACGGCCCAAACUCCUACGGGAGGCAGCAGUGGGGAAUUUUGCACAAUGGGGGAAACCCUGAUGCAGCGACGCCGCGUGAUUUAGAAGGCCUUCGGGUUGUAAAAAUCUUUUUUAUGGGAUGAAAAUGACAGUACCAUAAGAAUAAGGUCCGGCUAAAUACGUGCCAGCAGCCGCGGUAAUACGUAUGGACCGAGCGUUGUCCGGAAUCAUUGGGCGUAAAGGGUACGUAGGCGGCCUAGUAAGUUAGAAGUGAAAUAAUAUAGCUCAACUAUAUAAAGCUUUUAAAACUGUUAGGCUUGAGAGAUGAAAGGGAAAGUGGAAUUCCUAGUGUAGCGGUGAAAUGCGCAGAUAUUAGGAAGAAUACCGGUGGCGAAGGCGACUUUCUGGUCAUCAUCUGACGCUGAGGUACGAAAGCGUGGGUAGCAAACAGG